UGGGGAAUAUUGCACAAUGGGGGAAACCCUGAUGCAGCGACGCCGCGUGGGUGAAGAAGUAUUUCGGUAUGUAAAGCCCUAUCAGCAGGGAAGAAGAUGACAGUACCUGACUAAGAAGCCCCGGCUAACUACGUGCC
rnacentral:rRNA from 1 species